GCCUGACGAGUCACAAAGCUUCACAAUGCAGGAGAUUACCAAAAUGCGAGGACUCAAGAACUACGAAAGCGGCAAGGAAGAGAGUCAAU
rnacentral:sRNA from 1 species